AACGAACGCUGGCGGCGCGCCUAAUACAUGCAAGUCGAGCGAGAGGACGUAGCAAUACGUUUGUAAAGCGGCGAACGGGUGAGGAAUACAUGGGUAACCUACCCUCGAGUGGGGAAUAACUAGCCGAAAGGUUAGCUAAUACCGCGUACGCUCCUUGGACUUCGGUUCAGGGAGGAAAGCGAUACCGUGGGUAUCGCGCUCUUGGAUGGGCUCAUGUCCUAUCAGCUUGUUGGUGAGGUAACGGCUCACCAAGGCUUCGACGGGUAGCUGGUCUGAGAGGACGAUCAGCCACACUGGCACUGCGACACGGGCCAGACUCCUACGGGAGGCAGCAGUAAGGAAUAUUGCGCAAUGGGCGAAAGCCUGACGCAGCGACGCCGCGUGGGGGAGUGAA
rnacentral:rRNA from 1 species